UUCAUUUUGCAAUAGUCUUAACUCCUUCAGCCGCGCUCUCUCCUUCCAUCACCGGUCUCGCCCUUCCAUCACCGGUGGUUUAGAGAGACAAAGUCAUUGCUACUGCACAUAGAGAGAGAGAAAGAGUCGUCGUUGGGGGUUUCCAAAACCUCGUCUACACUAACAGAUCGGACGAGAAUUUUUUUAGGAUUGUCGGCAGACGACUCUUUUCGCGAAAGCCCUAGCUCCUUGCCCCUGACCACUGGACAUCGCGAAAGCUUUGGAUAGCUCCUUGCCUACUCCUUACAGCUUUCUGAAGUCUAAACAAGAUUUAUUCAUACGCACACAUACAAAUAAGGAUGGCAAUGCUACUGAUGUUGCUGCUUCAGAGAUGAUUGCUUUAACAUUUACAUCUGAAUCUACAAUCCCUCAAUCUCUUUCUCUCACACACAACAUCUGCAAUUAAUUAGUCUCUUCAUGUUUGUCAUUCCAUGAGUUAGAGAAAAGGUCAAACUCAAAGAAAGGCAAAGCGAAGAAGAUGAGGACGGUGAAAGGGAUGAGGAUCCUGCUAUUUGCUUGUACAAGGACACACAUUUUAAGGAACAAGGUGGAUGGGCACACGAGAAAGCUAAGAGGAAUUUUCUACUUCCUUGGAUUUUGUACGGUGGAUUUUGCAGCUACUUCCUUGGAUUUUGUACAGUGAGGUGGUUUUUUGACAAGUGCAAACUGAAACUCAAGUGGUAGAAGGUUUAUCAAUUUUUCAACAGAAGUGUUAGGAAAUUGAUGAUUUUCUUGACAAAUGGAUUUAUUUUCUGUUUUGGAACAUUGAUAAAUGUUGAAUUGUUUUGGCAAGUUGAUAAAUAAUGAAUUGUAAAAAUGUUUUAACUCUUUUGAUAUGUUUAAUGAGAUAUGUUUUUUGAAUUGAA